rnacentral:rRNA from 1 species
UACGUAGGGCGCAAGCGUUAUCCGGAAUUGUUGGCGUAAAGAGCUCGUAGGCGGUUUGUCGCGUCUGCCGUGAAAGUCCGGGGCUCAACUCCGGAUCUGCGGUGGGUACGGGCAGACUAGAGUGAUGUAGGGGAGACUGGAAUUCCUGGUGUAGCGGUGAAAUGCGCAGAUAUCAGGAGGAACACCGAUGGCGAAGGCAGGUCUCUGGGCAUUAACUGACGCUGAGGAGCGAAAGCAGUGGGGAGCGAACAGGAUUAGAUACCUU